GGGCACUACAUUUCCCAGGCUCCCCGGCGCCUCAGACGAGAUGCAGCCAGCCCAGUUUCUUUGCAGGCCCAACCCAAUGUAAACAUGAACCUUGUUGUUGUUGUUGGGGGUCUCCUGGCAGCAGUUGCUAUGGUGUGUGGAGUACUGAUCUACAAGACUGCAGGGUCAAAGGUCAAAUAUGAGAGAGUGCCAUCCCCGGAAAUUUGAAAUAGCAGCUUUCAUU